AGUAAGUUAGUUGCACGAGAAACGGGUCUCUUUUUUGGCUGGUCUCGCAGCAAGUUUCAACCUAGGCGACUUACGACGAAGACGAGUAAAUUUUCAAGUGUUUCAGCUUUGAAGAGUGCAGAGUGUGUAGUUCAAUACGGCUACUAGUGGCUCAUAAAAGGAAACCGAAUUUCGCGAAAAAUUUGCAUCUGAGCAAAAACAAGCGAAAAAUUAUUGAAACGAAGUGAAACCAAGUGAGUGAUUAGUGAGCUUCCAUCUGAACGUAUAGCUGAUCGGUGAGAGAUUGAAGCAA